rnacentral:tRNA from 1 species
AAAUUACUAGCUUAAUGGUAGAGUACUCGACUUUUAAUCGAAUGGUUCUGAGUUCAAAUCUCAGGUAAUUUA